rnacentral:rRNA from 1 species
GACGAACGCUGGCGGCGUGCUUAACACAUGCAAGUCGAACGCGCCUGUCCUCUGGGUUUCUGGGGGGUGGGUGAGUGGCGAACGGGUGAGUAACACGUGAGUAACCUGCCCCCUUCUUCGGGAUAACGGUCUGAAAGGGCUGCUAAUACCGGGUAUUCACUGGUCUCCGCAUGGGGUCUGGUGGAAAGGUUUUUUUCUGGUGGGGGAUGGGCUCGCGGCCUAUCAGCUUGUUGGUGGGGUGAUGGCCCACCAAGGCUUUGACGGGUAGCCGGCCUGAGAGGGGGCCCGGUCACAUUGGGACUGAGAUACGGCCCAGACUCCUACGGGGGGCAGCAGUGGGGAAUAUUGGACAAUGGGCGCAAGCGUGAUGCAGCGACGCCGCGUGAGGGAUGGAGGCCGUCGGGUUGUGAACCUCUUUCGCCCGUGGUCAAGCCGCGACGUGGGUCGUGGUGAGGGUAGUGGGUAAAGAAGCGCCGGCUAACUACGUG